rnacentral:lncRNA from 1 species
CACAGAUAGACAACUGAAUCCCUGUGGUGCUAAUGUUACUAUCUACAUUAGAAAACAAAUCCAUAGUAAACACUGAAGACUACUGAGAGUCACUCUCAGAUGAGCCAAGCUGCAAGAAAGACUCUCAAAGGAGUUCAACUGCCUGGAAGAAACCAGCCAAGCAACCUGAAAGCAGCAGAAAUGAGCCUGGCUGCCUGGAUGAGCUUUAGACCAACUGAGGCACAUGGAAGGGACACUCUCCAACCCAUUGAGCUGCCUGCAGGCUGUUCAGUAUGCUCCAGAUUCCCAGCUUUUGUGAGCUGUCACCCAUGCUGUGGUGGGCUUUGGUGAGGCAGCUGCUACUGUAUGUAAACCCCCACCCAUAUUCAUGUAAGUAACCCCAAUAAAACUCACAAAUUCACUAAGUUGGAC